AUUGAACGCUGGCGGCAGGCCUAACACAUGCAAGUCGAACGAGUGGCGGACGGGUGAGUAAUGUCUGGGAAACUGCCUGAUGGAGGGGGGUAACUACUGGAAACGGUAGCUAAUACCGCAUACCAUCAGAUGUGCCCAGAUGGGAUUAGCUAGUAGGUGGGGUAAAGGCUCACCUAGGAGGGGUGCCCUAGCUGGUCUGAGAGGAGGACCAGCCCAACUGGAACUGAGAAUCGGUCCGUACUCCUACGGUGGGCAGCAGUGGGGAAUAGUGCACAAUGGGGGCAAGCCUGAUGCAGACAGGCCGCGUGUAGGAAGAAGUCCUUCGGGUUGUAAAGUACUUUCAUCAGGGAGGCGGUACCCGCAGAAGAAGCACCGGCUAACUCCGUGCCAGCAGCCGCGGUAAUUC
rnacentral:rRNA from 1 species